CAGAGCUUGGCACCUUCUGUCCUGCUCCUGGGCAGGAAUGGAGCUGAUGACCAGCAGGUAUAGUAUCAUUGCAAGGAAUCCAGAC